rnacentral:rRNA from 1 species
GAUGAACGCUAGCUACGGGCUUAACACAUGCAAGUCGAGGGGCAGCGCAGUGUAGCAAUACAGUGGGCGGCGACCGGCGCACGGGUGCGUAACGCGUAUCCAACCUUCCCGUUACUCAGGGAUAGCCUUCCGAAAGGGAGCUUCUGGGGCAUCCCGGAGGUUUCAAAUAUUCAUAGGCGUUGGAUGGGCAUGCGUGCUAUUAGAUAGUUGGCGGGGUAACGGCCCACCAAGUCGACGAUAGCUAGGGGAUCUGAGAGGACGGUCCCCCACACUGGUACUGAGACACGGACCAGACUCCUACGGGAGGCAGCAGUAAGGAAUAUUGGGCAAUGGAGGCAACUCUGACCCAGCCAUGCCGCGUGAAGGACGAAGGCCCUACGGGUCGUAAACUUCUUUUGUCAGGGAAUAAAGUCGCCUACGCGUAGGCGUUUGCAGGUACCUGAAGAAUAAGCAUCGGCUAACUCCGUG